UCAGCUAUUUUAGCAAGUGACUGGAGAUUGCAUCGUACUAUAACGUCCACAAAGUCGCAUGUCUCUUCCUUCGUGUUCCCUUGAGGCACAUCAACGACGUAGGACUCAACAACGACGGUCCCGGAGAUCGGAGAAGGGUGAAGAUGUUGAAAUAAACUUGAAAGUAGCUUGAGGUUCAAGCUAUCCUAAUCUUAUUAGGAUUGUGUUUAUCCAAUAAAGAUUAGGAUAUAUAUGAAAGGUGAUUAUUAAUAGGUUUAGGAGUUUACCUAGUCCUAUAUAUAUUGAUGAAUGUUGUGAUGAAAGGAUAACGAUUGUGUGAAAGCGAUUGAGCUUAUUGAUUUGAAUAAAACGAAACGAGUACUUGCGAACUUCGACUUCUUGAUUUCUAUAUUUGGUAUCAGAGCCAUACAUAAAAAUUCAAAUAGUCGACGACGAGAGAUACAGCGACAACGACAAUGGCAGACGUGAAAAGCGAAACCGAGAUCAACGUUAAAGAAACUGGACCUUCAUCCAUCAAGUUUCCAAUGCUAACCUCCACCAACUACACAGUAUGGGCUAUGAAGAUGAAAAUUGCUCUCAAGGUAAAUAAAGUCUGGGAAACCAUUGAUCCAGGGAGCAAGCAUGAAGAAAAAAAUAACUUGGCUAUUGCCUUAUUGUUUCAAUCCAUACCCGAAUCAUUGACUUUACAAGUUGGAAACCUCGACACAUCCAAGGCAGUGUGGGAUGCAAUUCAAGCCAGACAUAUCGGGGCCGAAAGAGUUCGAGAAGCUCGACUACAAACACUAAUGGCAGAUUUCGACAAACUAAAGAUGAAAGACGAAGAUAAUAUCGAUACCUUCGUCGGCAAGUUAACCGAGAUCUCAUCAAAGUCAGCUUCACUUGGAACAGUCAUAGAAGAACCAAAACUUGUGAAGAAAUUCUUAAAGAGUUUGCCAAGGAAAAAGUAUAUUCAUAUGGUUGCAUCUCUUGAACAAGUUCUGGAUCUUAACGAAACUAGUUUCGAAGAUAUAGUGGGAAGAUUAAAAGCCUACGAAGAAAGAAUAAGCGAAGAAGAAGAAGAAGAACAGAAUGAUGAUCGAGAGAAACUGAUGUAUGCCAAUAGCGAGUCACAGCAUGAUGGUUAUGGAACCGGUCGAGGAAGAGGUCGUGGUGGAAGAAGCAACUGGAGAGGAGGAAGAGGCCGAGGACGUACUGGCGGUUUCUAUGCGCAGAGAGAAGCAUAUAAACAAGGACAGUACGGAACGAAGGAUAAAAGUCACAUAACUUGUUUUUCAUGUGACAAACUCGGUCACUACGCCUCAGAGUGCCCUGAUGCAAAACUUAAACUGCAAGAAACGGUGGAAAAGAAGGAUGAUGACACACUAGAAGCCGAUGAAUUAAUGAUGCACGAAGUUGUUUAUUUAAACGAGCAAAAGGUAAAACCAAACACCUUUGAGGUUGAACAAGGAAUGGAGAAUCUAUGGUAUCUUGAUAACGGCGCAAGUAAUCAUAUGAGUGGAAACCGCUUGUUCUUCUACAAGCUUGAUGAAGGAGUAACAGGAAUGGUUCGCUUCGGAGAUGAUUCACGAAUUGAAAUAAAAGGAAAGGGAUCUAUAAGAUUCGUUUUGAAGGGAGGUGACAAGAAAAUACUAAGUAAUGUCUAUUACAUUCCCGGUUUGAAAAGCAAUAUAGUGAGCUUGGGACAGGCUACCGAAGCAGGUUGCGAAGUAAGCAUGAAAGACGACAUACUAAAACUAUUUGAUCGUGCAGGACAACUAAUGGUUAAGUGCACAAGGUCAAAGAACCGACUAUAUAAGGUCGUCUUGACUGCAGAUACAGUACAAUGUCUACAAAUAGCAUCAUGCUCGGAGUCCUCUAGAUGGCAUGCGCGUCUAGGUCACCUCAACAGCGAGACAAUGAAGAUGAUGAUGAACAAAAAUCUAGUUGUUGGCAUGCCAAACAUGACGAUCGAACGAGAGACGUGUGUAUCAUGUCUUCUUGGUAAACAAACCAGGAAGCCAUUCCCGCAGGCAACAGCAUAUAGAGCAACAACUCCACUUGAGCUUGUCCAUGGGGACUUAUGCGGGCCCAUUACACCUCCCACACCAGGAGGAAAGCGCUAUAUUUUCGUGUUGAUUGAUGAUUUUUCAAGGUACAUGUGGACAAUACUACUGGAAAGGAAAAGCGAGGCGUUUGACAAGAUCAAAAUCUUCAAGAAACUUGCAGAAAAAGAAACGAAAGCAACACUGAAAACACUUCGAACUGACAGAGGUGGUGAGUUUCUGUCUCAUGAGUUCAGAGAUUACUGCGACCAGAACGGGAUUAACAGACACUUAACAGCUCCAUACUCUCCUCAACAAAACGGAGUUGUGGAGCGUCGAAAUCGCACUCUACUCGAGAUGACCAGAAGCUUACUAAAACAUAUGAAGGUACCUAAUAUGUUUUGGGGAGAAGCAGUGAGGUAUGCCACCUAUCUAAUCAACAUAAUCUCCACAAGAUCCUUGACAGAGAAAACACCGUAUGAGGCAUUGCGAGAGAAACGACCUAACGUAGAACAUCUUAAAGUGUUCGGUUGCGUAUGUUAUGCAAAAACAGAGGCGGUAGGAAGAAAAAAACUGGACGAUCGAUCAAGAGUACUGAUUCACUUAGGUAUUGAGCCUGGCACAAAGGCUUACCGGUUGCUAGAUCCCGACAGUAAUAAGAUUAUUGUCAGCCGUGAUGUGUAUUUUGAGGAAGAAAAACAGUGGAAUUGGAGCACGACCAAAAUAAAAGGUUCUGAGGAGUCUGGUUCGUUCGAAAUAGAGCUGAUACCUCCGCAAGAACUCGAGGUUGCACCUAUUAAUGAGGUCGAGGACAGUGGCGAGGAGACAGAAGACGAAGAUAAUGUGGAUGCAGAGGAACAAACAGAACCGAAUGUAAGAAGAUCAACAAGAGCUAGCACUAAGCCUUCCUAUCUAGAUGAUUAUAUACUUCUUGCGGAGGUUGAAUGUGAAAAACUCUUGAUGAUCAUAAAUAAUGAGCCAUGGGACUAUAGUGAAGCCAAGAAGCUACAAGUUUGGGUUGAUGCAUGUAUAGACGAGCUAUCCUCUAUUGAAAGAAACAACACUUGGAUACUCGUCGAUUUGCCAAAAGGUUUUAAACCAAUUGGAUUGAAGUGGGUAUUCAAAAUAAAAAGGAAUGCAGAUGGAAGCAUAAGCAAAUACAAGGCACGCCUAGUCGCUAAAGGAUAUGUUCAAAAACAUGGAGUAGACUACGACGAAGUCUUUGCCCCUGUCGCACGCAUUGAGACAAUUCGAAUGGUUAUUUCACUUGCAGCUUCUAGAGGGUGGGAAAUACACCACUUAGAUGUUAAAACCGCGUUUCUACAUGGAGAAUUGAAAGAAGAAGUUUAUGUUAGUCAACCCGAAGGAUUCGAGAUCAAAGGAAAAGAAGAAAAAGUCUACAAGCUUAACAAAGCUCUUUAUGGUUUGAAACAGGUUCCUAGGGCAUGGAAUAUAAAACUCAACCGAAUCCUACAGAGUCUUGGUUUCACCAGAUGCUCCAAAGAACCAUCAUUAUAUAGAAGAGAAGAGAAGAACGGUCUACUGGUCGUGUGCGUGUAUGUGGAUGAUCUGCUCGUUACUGGAGCUUACUUGCAGUCGAUAAUGGAAUUUAAACGGGAGAUGAGCAGCAAGUUCGAGAUGAGUGAUCUAGGUAAACUGACAUACUACCUAGGUAUUGAGGUCUGUCAACUUGAAGGGAGCAUUGUAUUGUCGCAGUACAAGUACGCUCAAAAGAUUCUUGAAGAAACGAGUAUGCAUGGAUGUAAUCUCACUCAUAUACCCAUGGAGUUGAACCUGCGUCUGUCAAAAUCGCGGCAAGAACAAAGCAUUGACGAGAGGCAGUAUAGAAGAAGUAUAGGAUGUCUUCGCUACCUACUGCACACCAGACCUGAUCUCUCUUUCAGCGUCGGAGUGUUGAGUAGAUAUAUGCAAGAUCCGAAGGAAUCUCAUGGAGCAGCCUUGAAACAAGUGUUAAGAUACUUGCGUGGAACUACAUCACUAGGACUACGGUUCGCAAGAUCAAGCAAUCAAGAACUGACUGGCUUCAGUGAUAGCUCGCACAACGUUGACGAUGACGAUGGGAAAAGCACAACCGGCCACAUAUUUUAUCUUGGAGAAAAUCCCAUAACUUGGUGUUCUCAAAAACAAGAAAUUGUGGCGCUAUCCUCAUGUGAAGCAGAGUUUAUGGCUGCAACCGAAGCUGCAAAGCAAGCAAUUUGGCUUCAAGAACUCUUAGGAGAAGUCGUAGGUGAAGCAUGCAGGAAGGUGGUAAUACGAGUUGACAACAAAUCAGCAAUUGCUCUCACGAAAAAUCCUGUAUUUCAUGGCCGGAGCAAGCACAUUCAUAGGAGGUUUCAUUUCAUUCGAGAGUGUGUUGAAAACGAACAAGUUGAAGUCGAGCAUGUUCCAGGCAAUGAACAAAAGGCUGAUAUAUUAACUAAAUCACUUGGUCGAGUUAAAUUUGCAGAGAUGAGAAGGUUGAUCGGGGUUCGAAAUGUGAAAGAUGAAGACUUCAAGCUUAAGGGGGAGAAUGUUGAAAUAAACUUGAAAGUAGCUUGAGGUUCAAGCUAUCCUAAUCUUAUUAGGAUUGUGUUUAUCCAAUAAAGAUUAGGAUAUAUAUGAAAGGUGAUUACUAAUAGGUUUAGGAGUUUACCUAGUCCUAUAUAUAUUGAUGAAUGUUGUGAUGAAAGGAUAACGAUUGUGUGAAAGCGAUUGAGCUUAUUGAUUUGAAUAAAACGAAACGAGUACUUGCGAACUUCGACUUCUUGAUUUCUAUAGAAGAGUCGUGACAGAUCGGUAGUUAGAUAACCUAUGGUCCCCACCGACGACGCUGAAGCUGAUGACGUGACGCUCAUCAUCAAGAAUGUCAAGACGCUCGGUAGAGCUCCCGGCGGGUAGGCCAGAGACGACGUGGACUUG
rnacentral:lncRNA from 1 species